AAAGCUGAGACAUUAUUGCAUGCGUCACAGAUUCCCACGCUUAUUUGUAUUACAGCACUAUUUUAUCAAUUAAUUAGGGCAAAUCAUUUCAGCCUCCCCAAUUGCCUAUUUUUAGGGCAAAGCAUUUCAGCCUCCCUAAUCACCUCCAUCUCUAUUCUCGUUCUCAACUCUCUCUCUCUCUCUGCAACUGCAAACCACAAGAUCUACAUGAAUCAAAAGUUCAAAACCCAUAUAUUUCAGUUGAUCUAUCCGCAAGAUUCAAAAGUUCAAAACCUAUUACCUAUAUCAAAACAUAUAUAGGCGUAUCAUUUCAGGUUGUUCAAAAAGUCAAAACCCUUAUCUUUCAGUUUCCAACGCCCGCUAUUCCAGUUCAGGUUCGACGUUCGCAAGCUUCAGCCGCUGUCUCUCAACCAAUCAAGGGUUAGCAUCGGGCCUUAACAUUUAGCACGAAUAAGGUUCAAGAAACAUGCCUCCUCAGUCAGCAGGUCUCUUUUAUGGAAGAAGAGAGUUGAUUGGUAUGGGAGGAAUUGGAAAAAAGGAAAUAGAUAUGGACAGGUGUCGGUCGUGUAUUCAUAACCGAACACGGUGUGAUAGUUGUACUUCCUCCAGAUUCAGACCCUGCUAACCAUUUGAACGUAUUAACCGUGUACGGCGAGGGACAUUUUAGAAUGUUGUUGGGUUUGACCGAUGAUGAAGCGAAAAGGCAUUUGCUUCUUGCCUAAUUCUUCAAGCCGCACUCAUCGUUGCAGUAGCAUUGUGGGGCUCAUCGUUGCAGUACCAUUGUGGGGAGCAUAGGCGUUAUAAGAUAGCUGAUUGAUGAGAAUUUGGCUACUAUGGAGCAAAUAGGUGUACGUAAUCAACAAAUUGCAAUACUGUAAGAGGAAAGAGACUGACUCCUAGCAAACACAAUUUCAUUCUUGAGAAUGAAAUAUGACAACUUCAGAAUGAAAGACGGCAACUACGGGAAGAAAAUGCAAACAUUGUGCGUCUCAAGCAAAUUAUGAGGCGGUACAACGCUCCGAUUCCCCGUGACGUGUAGGCAAAUUCUGAGGUCCUUUUUAGCCAUCACAUUUGAGAUUUUCUUAUGAAUGUCAUUUAAAACAUUGUUCUUACUUCAAUGUUUUUAAUAUUAUUAUUUUUUUGUUCCAGUAA